AUUAGACGAAUCAUCUGGAAAGAUGAAUCAAAGAAGGUAAUAAUCCUGUAGUCGAAAAUGUUGUCUCUCUUGAGUGGAUCCUGAGUACGACGGAGCACGUGAAAUUCCGUCGGAAUCUGGGAGGACCAUCUCCUAAGGCUAAAUACUCUCUAGUGACCGAUAGUGAACCAGUACCGUGAGGGAAAGGUGAAAAGCACCCCGGAAGGGGAGUGAAAUAGAACCUGAAACCGUGUGCUUACAAGUAGUCAGAGCCCGUUAAUGGGUGAUGGCGUGCCUUUUGUAGAAUGAACCGGCGAGUUACGAUUUGAUGCAAGGUUAAGCAGUAAAUGUGGAGCCGUAGCGAAAGCGAGUCUGAAUAGGGCGUUUAGUAUUUGGUCGUAGACCCGAAACCAGGUGAUCUACCCUUGGUCAGGUUGAAGUUCAGGUAACACUGAAUGGAGGACCGAACCGACUUACGUUGAAAAGUGAGCGGAUGAACUGAGGGUAGCGGAGAAAUUCCAAUCGAACCUGGAGAUAGCUGGUUCUCUCCGAAAUAGCUUUAGGGCUAGCCUCAAGUGAUGAUUAUUGGAGGUAGAGCACUGUUUGGACGAGGGGCCCCUCUCGGGUUACCGAAUUCAGACAAACUCCGAAUGCCAAUUAAUUUAACUUGGGAGUCAGAACAUGGGUGAUAAGGUCCGUGUUCGAAAGGGAAACAGCCCAGACCACCAGCUAAGGUCCCAAAAUAUAUGUUAAGUGGAAAAGGAUGUGGCGUUGCCCAGACAACUAGGAUGUUGGCUUAGAAGCAGCCAUCAUUUAAAGAGUGCGUAAUAGCUCACUAGUCGAGUGA
rnacentral:rRNA from 1 species